rnacentral:rRNA from 1 species
GCGUCGAGUGGCGGACGGGUGAGUAACGCGUGGGUAACCUACCCUGUACAGAGGAAUAGCCAUUGGAAACGAUGAUUAAUGCCUCAUAAGACCACAGCAACGCAUGUUGCAGUGGUAAAAACUCCGGUGGUACAGGAUGGACCCGCGUUAGAUUAGCUAGUUGGUAAGGUAAUGGCUUACCAAGGCUACGAUCUAUAGCCGACCUGAGAGGGUGAUCGGCCACACUGGAACUGAGACACGGUCCAGACUCC